GAGUCAAGAUCCAUUCCUCUCCUCUUCCGCAGCUGCCUGCCAGUACAUUCACUUGGCUACCAACAGCGCACAUGCUGCCAGAGUCCAUAGGUCGCUGUGCAGUGCUCCCGGGACAGGGCUCUGGGCACAGGGCUGUGCUCCAAAGCUGGAACAGGAGCAAGCAUGGUGGGGCAGUGGACACUGCUCCUUGCUGCCUUCCUUCUGCCGGGGUUCCUGCUCUCAGAAGCCGCCAAAAUUCUGACUGUAUCCUCACUGGGUGGAAGCCAUUAUCUACUGCUGGACCGGGUAUCUCAGAUUCUUAAGAUCAUGGUCAUAAUGUCACUAUGCUUCUUUAUGGAGAAGAAUUUUUAAUCCCAG